rnacentral:rRNA from 1 species
UACGUAGGUGGCUAGCGUUGUCCGGAUUUACUGGGCGUAAAGAGCGCGCAGGCGGUCGUUCAAGUCGAGUGUGAAAGCCCCCGGCUCAACUGGGGAGGGUCACUCGAUACUGAUCGACUUGAAGGCGGGAGAGGGAAGCGGAAUUCCCGGUGUAGAGGUGAAAUUCGUAGAUAUCGGGAGGAACACCAGUGGCGAAGGCGGCGAUCUGGGAAGAUACUGACGCUGAGGUGCGAAAGCGUGGGGAGCAAACAGG